GACGGAGGAUGCAAGUGUUAUCCGGAAUCACUGGGCGUAAAGCGUCUGUAGGUGGUUUAAUAAGUCAACUGUUAAAUCUUGAGGCUCAACUUCAAAAUCGCAGUCGAAACUAUUAGACUAGAGUAUAGUAGGGGUAAAGGGAAUUUCCAGUGGAGCGGUGAAAUGCGUAGAGAUUGGAAAGAACACCAAUGGCGAAAGCACUUUACUGGGCUAGUCACUGACACUGAGAGACGAAAGCUAGGGUAGCAAAUGGG
rnacentral:rRNA from 1 species